rnacentral:lncRNA from 1 species
CUGGGGGUUUUGCUGUAGUCAUGCACCCUCUAGGAAGGACGCCAUGCUGGAUUUCUCCACUUUCAUUGCAGUAAAUCUGGACAUGACAUUGCUGUAACAAAGCAGGCAGCUGGGUCUGCAUGGCUGUCACCCCCUCACAAGCCAAGGUCAUUUGAAAAGUCUCCUGUGACAGAUGGGCAAAAGCAUUUCUUCCUGCUUCAAAGGCACAGGAUGCUGCUUUGGAGCCAGUUUUUCUUCUGCAGGUCUUCUUGUCAGUGAGCAGGAAGGAAAAUCUGCAAACAAAGGCAACUUCAGUGAUCUUGGAACAUGAAGAAUAAUGUCCUUCAUUGCUGCCAUGCAGGGCUCAGUGCAAAGAGCUGAACGGCACUGAUUCCUACAGUCAAGGACGUAUGGCCCUCUUGUUCCUUUGCAAGAUAAGCCAUUCCCAACUGGAUAUUAACUCUUCCUGGAAAUGCAGCGUCAAAAACAAUGGCAAUACACUAUCAAGAUCCAGCACUUCCCUUAAGAAACUGUGAAGCACCAAGGAGAGCUUUGUUGCAGAAGAAACAACGCAGACAUAUAAUGCAACAAGACAUGAACAUUGAUGGGAACAGCCCGUGGCUUUGAUGUUAGUUGCAGAUGCACAGAGAUAGUGCUGAGGCCACCUCAGAGGGUCCUGCCAUUUCUGCUCAUUCGCUGCCAGUGGUACGUCCAAGACACAAGGAGCUGUAAAGAGCACAGGAAUAAAGAGCAGGAAUGGAUGCCAAGAGGAAGGAAAGUAGGCGGCACAGAAGAUGGGAAACAAAGCAAAAAACGUCUGGGCAACACGGUACUAGAUCUUAAAUGCUGCUCAGUAGGCCUGAAUGGGAUCCUUUUGGGACACCAUCAUAUAAUCCAUGGGUUUGUAAAUGGAAGCCAUGGGCAAUUUAGGAGACAGCAUGAAGAGAGCUGCGUAUCUUAUCUGUAGACAGCUCCCGUGCUUAAUCCAAAGACUGAAAUAGGUAAAUAUUAGAUAUCUGGCCCAACAAAGUGACACAGUAGAGUGAGGUGAAUCUCUUGUUGGGUGCUUUUUUCUUUUUUCCUUUAGCAGCUUAGAUUAGUCAAAUAUUCAAGAUUUUCAAGCUUUAAAGAAAAAAAAAUCCUUAAAAGACCUUCUUUUCUUUCUUUUUUUCUUUUUUUCUCUUUGUUUUUUUAACAGUGAGCUUGGCACAGCUGUUUGUCUUUGCUGUCUG